UACGGAGGGUGCAAGCAUUAAUCGGAAUUAUUGGGCGUAAAGGGCGCGUAGGCGGGAAGAUAAGUCAGGUGUGAAAUCCCGGAGCUCAACUCCGGAACAGCACUUGAAACUGUCUUUCUAGAGGGUAGGCGGAGAAAACGGAAUUCCACAAGUAGCGGUGAAAUGCGUAGAUAUGUGGAAGAACACCUGUGGCGAAAGCGGUUUUCUAGCUUAUACCUGACGCUGAGGCGCGAAAGCAAGGGGAGCAAACAGG
rnacentral:rRNA from 1 species